UUGCUAAGUUUGAUGGCGACCGGCGGACGGGUGAGUAAAAUGUAGAGAAUCUGCCCUUGAGAGGGGGACAACAGUUGGAAACGGCUGCUAAUACCCCAUAUGAGCGUACCUGAGAUGGUAUUCUUGAAAACUCCGGUGCUCAAGGAUGAGUCUGCAUCUGAUUAGCUAGUUGGCGGGGUAAUGGCCCACCAAGGCGACGAUCAGUAGCUGGUUUGAGAGGAUGAUCAGCCACAAUGGGACUGAGACACGGCCCAUACUCC
rnacentral:rRNA from 1 species